CAGCCGCCACGGUAAUACGAAGGGUGCAAGCGUUAAUCGGAAUUACUGGGCGUAAAGCGUGCGCAGGCGGUUUGUUAAGACAGAUGUGAAAUCCCCGGGCUUAACCUGGGAACUGCAUUUGUGACUGGCAAGCUAGAGUCUGGCAGAGGGGGGUGGAAUUCCGCGUGUAGCAGUGAAAUGCGUAGAUAUGCGGAGGAACACCGAUGGCGAAGGCAGCCCCCUGGGCCAACACUGACGCUCAUGCACGAAAGCGUGGGGAGCAAACAGGAUUAGAUACCCCGGUAGUCCCUGUCUCUUAUAC
rnacentral:rRNA from 1 species